UUUUCUAGCCUUGUGCAUACGCCUCCCUACCUGGAUUACUUGUCAUCAUGGAAUGAAGCUUCUACAUUCUAAUGUCCUUCAGGCUCUAGACCCGGAGGUUGGAUAAGGUUCCCUUGUUCUGUAAUACAAACUGUCCUGGGAAAGAUGGAAAAGCCACAUCCGGUGUUGUUGGCAAACAAACCAUGGAGACCUCACCUUGAUGUUGAUCCUACAUGACCUUUCUGUUCCAGGGGCAUUCAGAUGAUGUUAUGGGAGACGCUUUGAAGAUCAGAUGCUAGGUCUUAGAAGAAAGACCAUCUGUAAAGAAUCCUUUGCUUUCUCGCCUAGCAUAUCAGUAGAUCGAUCUAUUAAUCUAUCUAUCUGUGUAUCUAUCUAUCUAUCUAUCUAUCUAUCUAUCUAUCUAUCUAUCUAUCAUCUAUUUACCUACCUACCUACCUACAUAUCCGUCCUGUCUAUAUCUAUCAUCUUUCUAUCCAUCUAUCUAUCUGUCUCUAUGUAUCCAUCUGUCUCUAUCUUUAUCUUGCUAGCUAGCUAUCGUUCUUUUAUAUUGCUUCAUUUAAUCAAUCAAGCAUUCAUUUGGCAUGUUCUAUGUACUGAGAAGAACUGUGUUCACAGGUUGUGGAUUCAAUGAUAGAUGGUCUAUUUUUGAAUCCACAACCUAUGGAUUUGAAGAAAGAUAGUCUUUAGGAAGCAUGUUUACAUGGGAUAUAAAUGUAUGCUUAAUACUCAGAGAGACCCAGAUUCAAAUCCCAGCUCUGCUACCUACUUGCUGAGUGACCUUGGAUAAAUUGCUGCCCUACACCACCCACCAGGCCUCUGUUUGCUUAUAUAGAAAGAAAGUUAGUCCUUACUUUGUGAGACUGCUGUAAAGGUUCAAUGACAUGGUGAAUAGAAAGUACUUGAUGUAGGCCUGGCAUGGUGGCUCAUGCCUGUAAUCCCAGGACUUUGGGAGGCCCAGGUGGGUGGAUCACCUGAGGUCAGGAGUUCCAGACCAGCCUGGCCAACAUGGUGAAACCCCGUCUUUACUAAAAAUACAAAAAAUUAGCUGGGCAUGGUGGCAGGCCCCUGUAAUCCCAGCUACUCAGGAGGCUGAGGCAGGAGAAUUGCUUGAACCUGGGAGGUGGAGGUUGCAGUGAGCUGAGAUUGUGCCACUGCACUCCAGCCUAGGGAACAAGAGCAAAACUCCAUCUCAAAAAAAAAAGUGCUUGGUGUAAAAUCUGGUGCAUAGUAUGUGCACAAUAAAUCUCAGCUUUGCUUGCUUGCUUGGUUGAUUGAUUUUGUCUGUACUGUACUAAACUUAGUUUGGGGACUAAAUAUACAAAUACAAAUCAUACAUAUAUACCCAUUGUUUUUAGGAGCCUACGUCUUCUGGGAAAAGCAGGUGUGUUUGGUAAUUAGAAGUGUUUGAUAAUACCCAGGGAGGUAUUUAUAAGCACUGUGGGUGUCUAGUGUGCUGGGCCUAAAUCAGCCUGAAAAAUAAGAGGUAUCAUCUGUGGAUUUUCAAGUCCUUUAUCCCAUUUAACCCCCUAGAGAACCCUGAGAGGUUGGAAAUAUUGCCCCAUUUCAACAGAAGGCCCAGAAAAAUCAAGGCACAGUGGCCAGCAUUCUCUGCUGCACCUGGAAGGUACUAGACACCCUGAGGCAUCCUUGCUAGCGUACUCCUCAUGGGUGAGGCCUAAGCUGUGGCCACUGCAGAGGUCCAGAUACUUCCAGGAAGGUCUGAUUGUCAGUGAGGCAGUCUCUGUGUGCAGCCAGGAAUCUCUGAGUGCAAAGGACAGAGGAAUAGAAAUCUAGCAGGACAGGCUUGGCUCCAAUCCCACAUCUCAGGGCCAGAGAGCAGAAGAGAUUCUGAAUGGAGUGAGAUGACCAUCUCUGGUCUCUUACUUAGGCCCAGUCCACAGGCUCAUGUCUGGGGCCCCGGGGGAGUGAGGGCAGCAAAGAAGAACAGACAAUGGGCUCCACGCAGACCUCUGCAACACACUGGAGCCUGAGCCCAAUGCUGCACGACCCAUCAACUACAAGAAGGAGGGAGAAGGUGUAUGACCCCCCCUACACCCGCAACUCUCCCAUGAUCUCCAUGGAGACCCAAAGAUAUACACUGCAGCACCCAGCAAAGAUGUGGUACUUGGUAAGGACAGUGGUACCCACCUGUUCCACAGGGAACAUACUAAUCAUGUCUGAGAUAGCCCCUGAGAUGGGCUUGAAUACCCGGCUGUGGAGAAGUUAUAAGAGCUGAGGUCCUAUGGAGCCAAGAGGCAGUCAAGUUGGUAUUUAUUUAUGCAUUUACAACUAUUAAUGGGGCACCUUUUAUGCCCACAGACUGCUGAGGCCCGGAUUAAGCUAGCACAAGAGUUUGAUAAGAGGACAACUAACCCUGUGCUUUGAAAAUCCAAUUCACAUUUCUUGAGUAUGACUAUGUCCUAGGCAGUGGGGAUAUAAAGGAGAAUAACAUAACACCAUCUAUUGGAGACACCAAUGAGAAAACCAGAAUUGUAGUUCAACGCAAUAAAGGCUAUGCUGGUAAUACUUGUGAUAAUCCCUGAACCAACUGGUAUGGCCAAUCAUAGGCAUGAGAUCUCAGCUAGUCCAGUCAGAGUGAAUCUCAGAGCUCUUUACUGUCUAAAAAGCUUGUUCUUUUUUCUUCUAGGUGUUGGAGUGUGGAUAUGAGUCAUGGAACUCUGGGGCUAUGUUGCUGCCAGGUAAGAAUCUGUUCUAGGAAGGAUAAAAUCAAUGGACAUAGAAAGGCAGACUGGAGAAGGGAAAGGGAGCUGAGCCCUGCUGAUAGAGUAAACCUCUGGAUUAAACUAUGCCUGAAGCCC
ensembl:lncRNA CRYBB2P1 crystallin beta B2 pseudogene 1